GAGAGGUCAGCAAUGUGAGGCGCUCACAACAUCCAGAUGUUUACCUUCCUCUCUUGUUGGCAGGCUGGGCCUGGGAUUUGCCUGCUUCUCCUAGAAAGGCAAUUGAAUUAUCUAAACUGGACUUUGCAGAGUUGCGUUGUUUGGAAGACCAUAUGUUUCUGAGCCAGCUCUUAAAAAUGUUUGGUUAAAAGUGAGCUCCAGGCCACAGGCUCCUAUUCUGACUUUCACUUAAGCACUCUCCAGACCAGUUGAAUGUGGAGAUGGCUUAAGGAGCUUCCAAGCUGUAUAUAUUCCCCCAACCCACACUCUCAACUUGUUAGGAGCCAUCACUGGGCCUGCUGCCCAAGUUCAUGGGAAUGGUAGAAUGGAUAUUAUUUUUUUUUGGUGAGGAAGAUUGGCCCUGAGCUAACAUCUGUUGCCAAUCUUCCUUUUUGCUUGAGGAAAAUGGUCGCUGAGCUAACAUCUGUGCUAGUCUUCCUCUGUUUUGUGUGUAGGACACCACCAUAGCACGGCUUGAUGAGUGGUAUGUAGGUCCACGCCCAGGAUCCAAACUAGCAAACCCCAGGCCACCAAAGCAGAGUGUGCGAACUUAACUACUACACCAUUCGGCCUGCCCCAGAUAUUAUCUUUAGAAAAACUUCAUGUGUUAGACUAAUUAGGAAGAAGGCUCUGAAUUCAAGAAAAAUCUUCAUUGUAAAAUCCUUUUUAAGAAAUGCAACUAUCAUAGACUUUGAUUUAGACACUGGAUUUGAGUUUUGACUGUGACUUUAGACAAGUUUCUUAUUCCUUCCUAUUCGUUUGUUUCCUUGGCUGCAAAAUGGGGAUGAUGCUGAUGUGAGAAUUAAUAGCGCGAGAAGAGACUAGCCCACAUGGUAGGAACCCCAUCAGUAUCAUCAGCCCCUCGGUUAUGAUUUUCUGGGAAUAAGCAGGCUGAUUUGUAUACGUCAUCCUUUAGGCUUCAGAAAUAAUUUGGCUUCUUAACAGAUUAUCCUCUGAAGUAAAGUCCUUCCCGCAGCCUUGCUGACAUUAUUAAUUGACUCCACAAACUUUCACAGAGCCAGAGGAACCCUCAGGACAGCCAAGUCCAAAUGGGUCGGGAGCAACGUCACGGUUUUCUCUAGUAGUGCAGCCAUCAGCCUGAGCUGGUUGCAGAGAUGGCUCAUUGCCUCAUUAGCUGCUUCCCCCUGGCAUGUGGGAAGAUGAUGGGGACGUGGACGAGCCCAGCCCUCACUGAAGACCAUCCUUCCAAUUCUGGCUGUCUGUGCUGGAGCAUUCAGACACCCCAGGAUUCCCAGCUGAUGGCAGUGCGGCCCAACGCCCUCCUUUCACACAUGAGCAAACAGAGCUUCUGCUAAGGUGCUCGAUCCUUCAGAGGAAGCUAAGGCCACACUGAGGUGGGGCCCUAACUUCAGAUGGUGCUCACCACGCCCAGCAGCUGCCCACCCAGCACCCGCUGGCUCCAUGGCCUCUGUCUCUGAGCUCGCCUGCAUCUGCUCAGAUCUCGUCCUGCACGACUGAGGCGACAGUCACAUACGAUAGGAUCAAUGCCCUCAUUGAAGCAGCCCAUGUAAAUGUUGAACGUUUCUGGCCAGGCUUGUUUUGCAAAGACCCAGGCCAACAUCAACAUCGGGAGCCUCCUCUGCAGUGUGGGGCUCCUGGCCAUGCCCCCUCCACCACUGGUGCCCCAGCAGAGAAGGAAGUGGAAGAAAAGAAAGAAGAAUCUGAGGAGGCAGGUGAUGACAUGGGCUUUGGUCUUUUUGACUAAACCUUUUAAUGUGUUCAAUAAAAAGCUGAACUGUUAAAAAGAUAAAAGGAAUUUUAGUUUAUUUUUUUUUGCUGAGGCAGAUUUGCCCUGAGCCAACAUCUUUGCCGGUCUUCCUGUAUUUUAUAUGUGGGUCACUGCCACAGCAUGGCCACUGAUGAGUCGUAUAGGUCCAUGUCUGGGAUCCAAACCUGGGCUGCCAAAAUGGAGCAUGCCAGAUGG
ensembl:lncRNA